UACGUAGGGCGCAAGCGUUGUCCGGAAUUAUUGGGCGUAAAGAGCUCGUAGGUGGCUGGUCGCGUCUGCCGUGAAAGCCCGUGGCUUAACUACGGGUCUGCGGUGGAUACGGGCCGGCUUGAGGUAGGUAGGGGCAAGCGGAAUUCCUGGUGUAGCGGUGAAAUGCGCAGAUAUCAGGAGGAACACCGGUGGCGAAGGCGGCUUGCUGGGCCUUACCUGACGCUGAGGAGCGAAAGCGUGGGGAGCGAACAGG
rnacentral:rRNA from 1 species